UAGGGAAUCUUCGGCAAUGGACGAAAGUCUGACCGAGCAACGCCGCGUGAGUGAAGAAGGUUUUCGGAUCGUAAAACUCUGUUGUUAGAGAAGAACAAGGGUGAGAGUAACUGUUCACCCCUUGACGGUAUCUAACCAGAAAGCCACGGCUAACUACGUGCCAG
rnacentral:rRNA from 1 species